AGUCAAGUCUCAAAGCAGUAGAAGACAUGUGAUCUAAUUUAUCAAACUGGAAUAUUUGUAUAAUAGGACCGGACCUGAGAAUGUUAAACAAUUCUUGGAUGAUUCAUAAUUAGUGGUUAAAUGUCAAUCAUACAUGAUGAUUUUAGGUUUUCUAUGAAAUCUAUUCAGAAGAGAAUUUUACAAAAAAUAUAUGAAUACUAGUUUUUUAGGACAUG
rnacentral:rRNA from 1 species